rnacentral:rRNA from 1 species
ACGCUGGCGGCAGGCUUAACACAUGCAAGUCGAACGGUAACAGGGAUUAGCUUGCUAAUUUGCUGACGAGUGGCGGACGGGUGAGUAAUGCUUGGGAAUCUGGCUUAUGGAGGGGGAUAACUACGGGAAACUGUAGCUAAUACCGCGUAAUAUCGGAAGAUUAAAGGGUGGGACUUUCGAGCCACCUGCCAUAAGAUGAGCCCAAGUGGGAUUAGGUAGUUGGUUAGGUAAAGGCUGACCAAGCCGACGAUCUCUAGCUGGUCUGAGAGGAUGACCAGCCACACUGGAACUGAGACACGGUCCAGACUCCUACGGGAGGCAGCAGUGGGGAAUAUUGCACAAUGGGGGGAACCCUGAUGCAGCCAUGCCGCGUGAAUGAAGAAGGCCUUCGGGUUGUAAAGUUCUUUCGGUGACGAGGAAGGUUGAUAGGUUAAUAGCCUAUCAAAUUGACGUUAAUCACAGAAGAAGCACCGGCUAACUCCGUGCCAGCAGCCGCGGUAAUACGGGGGGUGCGAGCGUUAAUCGGAGUAACUGGGCGUAAAGGGCACGCAGGCGGUGACUUAAGUGAGAUGUGAAAGCCCCGAGCUUAACUUGGGAAUUGCAUUUCAUACUGGGUCGCUAGAGUACUUUAGGGAGGGGUAGAAUUCCACGUGUAGCGGUGAAAUGCGUAGAGAUGUGGAGGAAUACCGAAGGCGAAGGCAGCCCCUUGGGAAUGUACUGACGCUCAUGUGCGAAAGCGUGGGGAGCAAACAGGAUUAGAUACCCUGGUAGUCCACGCUGUAAACGAUGUCGAUUUGGGGAUUGGGCUUUGAGCUUGGUGCCCGUAGCUAACGUGAUAAAUCGACCGCCUGGGGAGUACGGCCGCAAGGUUAAAACUCAAAUGAAUUGACGGGGGCCCGCACAAGCGGUGGAGC